AUUUGGGCUAUACAAAUAAGAUUUGAUUUGAUUUGAUUUAUUCUUUAAAUCUCAGCAAGACGGAGGCCUGAAGCGCAUUGACAUCAACAUAAGGAGGGAGUGCAUCCUGAGAAGCCUUGUUGUCUAUGUCAGUGAAGACCCAGAUGUUCCUCUGCAGCUGAGGAUGCAGAGAAGGACAUUGCCACCACAGUCGUGGGGAUUUACACAAUCCGAAGAGAUGGACAUGAGGAGCCAGAGGACGUGGGAGUUGUGAUUGAGGGCAUUAAAGUCCUCAACAAUGUUGGCAGUGUCAUCAUAGGGGUUCAUCAUGCUGUUUGGGCUUUUUUAUGAUCUAGCCUUUACCGAAAAACUCAAGUACACCUUUGAGUUUUUCCAGAAGAUCAUUAUGAACUUGGAUGGACACAAGCUGAAUGCAAAGAUACAGCAGCUGAAAACCAAGCUGUUUUCAUAAGAGGCUGUCCACACAGUCAGCGACAGUCAGCAUGGAUGGUUUUCUUCUCUAUUUAUAUAUGUAUAUAUUUGUAUGAGUGAGUUUUUAUUCAUUUUAAAUAAAAACACAUGAACCUAAUUUUGUGUUAUGAAAGAAU